GCUUGGCUGGCUCUGUCUGUAGAGUGUGUGACUCUUCAUCUCAGGGUCAUGAGUUCAAGCCCCAUGUUAGGCG
rnacentral:tRNA from 1 species